rnacentral:misc_RNA from 1 species
CCCUUUACAGAGCCGCCGCUUAAGGUUGUUACUGGAGAUAGAACCUAUACAAAGCCACCAUUUUGGCUGUUACCGAAUAUGGAAUGAAGUAGUAAGUUGACACCAUGACACUCCCUCAGCAAGUAGGAUAACACCUGCUGAUCAAAAGUAUUAUCUUGGACAUCAAACUAACUAGGUACGAGACCAUUGGAGAGGCACCACCACCACAAUAGUAGUAGGAGGGGAGAUGGUAGAGUUCAUGGCAUCUCAAUCUCGUAUAGCCUUG